rnacentral:rRNA from 1 species
GAUGAACGCUGGCGGCGUGCCUAAUACAUGCAAGUCGAGCGAACGGACGAGAAGCUUGCUUCUCUGAUGUUAGCGGCGGACGGGUGAGUAACACGUGGAUAACCUACCUAUAAGACUGGGAUAACUUCGGGAAACCGGAGCUAAUACCGGAUAAUAUUUUGAACCGCAUGGUUCAAAAGUGAAAGACGGUCUUGCUGUCACUUAUAGAUGGAUCCGCGCUGCAUUAGCUAGUUGGUAAGGUAACGGCUUACCAAGGCAACGAUGCAUAGCCGACCUGAGAGGGUGAUCGGCCACACUGGAACUGAGACGCGGUCCCGACUCCUACGGGAGGCAGCAGUAGGGAAUCUUCCGCAAUGGGCGAAAGCCUGACGGAGCAACGCCGCGUGAGUGAUGAAGGUCUUCGGAUCGUAAAACUCUGUUAUUAGGGAAGAACAUAUGUGUAAGUAACUGUGCACAUCUUGACGGUACCUAAUCAGAAAGCCACGGCUAACUACGUG